GUGCAAGGUAAGGGUACUGUCAAGAUAUUAGCAUGUAACGAUGAUAUUACGCGAAAAAUCCAAUUUGAAGAUACGUUGUUAGUUCCUGAUCUACGUAGUAACUUAAUUUCGAUUUCUAAACUUACUGAUCGAGGUUGUAUAGUCACUUUUAAACGUGAUGUAGCAUAUGCAACUAAGGAUGGUGAAGUUAAGUUGACUGCUGAUCGUAGAGGUAAUUUGUAUUACCUGAGAGAGCAGGAUGCUUCGGCAUCUGUAGUAUCAGAUAAGGAUGUGGAUUUGUGUAGAUGGCAUGAGCGUAUGGGACAUUUGAAUGCUAGGGAUCUUAUGAAAGUACUGAAGAAAUCGGGUAUAGACGCCACCAAGUCUGAUACUGAAUUGCGCGAUUGUGAUGUGUGUGCUAAGGGAAAGAUGGUUGCGUUGCCUUUUGUGAAGUCCAGUCAGCCAUGUGACGAAAAGUUAAAAAUAAUUUAUUCUGAUGUGGUAGGCCCAAUGAGAGUUCAAUCAAAUGCGGGAAACAAAUAUUUUGUUACAUUUAUUGAUGAUUGUACUCGUUGGUGUGAAGUUUUUAUGUUGAAAAAUAAAAGUGACGUCUUGUCAAAGUUUAAAAUAUUUAAAUGUCAGAUCGAAAAUUUGACAGGUAAACAAAUAAAAUAUUUCCAUUCCGAUAAUGGCAAGGAAUUUGUGAAUAGUGAUUUUUCGAAAUUUUUACAAGAAAAUGGAAUAAAAAGGAGGUUGACUACGCCGUAUUCACCGCAGAGUAAUGGAAUUGCAGAACGGAUGAAUCGCACCUUACUGGAGAAGGCAAGAUAACAUUCGGUGCGAAAGUUCAUGUUUUGGAAAAGGAGCCAGGAAAGGAUAAGUUCGCAGCACGAAGUUCUCCCGGCAUUUUUGUGGGCUACCCGGCUGAAUCUGGUGGCUAUAGGGUGUGGAUAUCCGAGAAAAGAAAAA